rnacentral:rRNA from 1 species
UACGUAGGGUGCAAGCGUUGUCCGGAAUUAUUGGGCGUAAAGAGCUCGUAGGCGGUUUGUUGCGUCGGCUGUGAAAUCCCGAGGCUCAACCUCGGGUCUGCAGUCGAUACGAGCAAACUAGAGUGUUGCAGGGGAGACUGGAAUUCCUGGUGUAGCGGUGAAAUGCGCAGAUAUCAGGAGGAACACCGGUGGCGAGGGCGGGUCUCUGGGCAACAACUGACGCUGAGGAGCGAAAGCGUGGGGAGCGAACAGG